CCGCUAUAUAAAUGCAGAUGUUGCUGAUUAUCUGUAGGCUUUUUGCACUGGGACGUGGAAUUGCGACCGCCACUCAGUGACAAAGUGACGUCGAGGAAGUGAAAACUAUCUUGGGAGGGGUUGCAUGUAAAACAUAAUUG
rnacentral:lncRNA from 1 species